ensembl:lncRNA
AGAGCAGAGCGGAGGGAAGGGCUGAGGGGAGGGCUGAAGGCAAACCUAUGAUGAAAAAAGAAAAGAAAAAAUAAGAACAAAAAUAUGAAAAAAGAGAAAAAAAGAAAAGAAAAAUAAGAAAAAGAGAAAAAAUGAAAAGAAAAAAAGAAAAAAUGAACAAAAAGAAGUAAAAAGAGAAAAAAAUGAAAAAAAGAGAAAAAAGAGAAAAGAAAAAAGAAAACAUGAACAAAAAAGAGAAAAAAGAGAAAAGAUAAAAAAAGAAAAAAGAUAAAGAGAAAAGAAAAAAAGAAAAUAGAAAUAAAAAAGAGGACAGAAAAAUAUGAAAAAAAGAGAAAAAAAGAAAAGAAAAAAACAGUAGAUGAAAAAAGAAAAAAAAAAGGAAAAACGAAUAAUGACAAGAGAAGAAAGGUAAAGAGAAAAGAAGAAAAAAGCCAAGUCAAAAAGUAAAGAAUAACUCGAAGGAAGGAGUGGAUGGCAAGAAAUAGAGAGAAAGCAGUGCAUAGCACAGCAGAGCAAAGCAAGGCAAAAUAGCAGCCAAAGCCACGAGAAUCAAGAAGUCAGUGAAGAGCAGGAAAGGAAUGGAGGAAUCUGUCCAGAGCUGUGCCCCUGCUUGCCACAGGAGCUGCGCGGGAGGAGAAGAACGUGGGCCAAAAGAUUUGUUUUGCUUGCAGGUGUUCCACUUUGGCUUUGUAUGACACAGUGGACGAGAGGGGACGGCGUUCAGUGGAACAAACGCUGCAGACCCUGGGAGAAUCAAAGCAGGAGAGAGGAAACGUGCCCUUUGCAGCAGGGGCCGUUGUGCUGGCAUUGCCC